UAGGGAAUCUUCCGCAAUGGGCGAAAGCUUGACGGAGCAACGCCGCGUGAGUGAUGAAGGUCUUCGGAUCGUAAAACUCUGUUAUUAGGGAAGAACACAUGUGUAAGUAACUAUGCACGUCUUGACGGUACCUAAUCAGAAAGCCACGGCUAACUACGUGCCAGCAGCCGCGGUAAUACGUAGGUGGCAAGCGUUAUCCGGAAUUAUUGGGCGUAAAGCGCGCGUAGGCGGUUAUUUAAGUCUGAUGUGAAAGCCCACGGCUCAACCGUGGAGGGUCAUUGGAUACUGGAAAUCUUGAGUGCAGAAGAGGAAAGUGGAAUUCCAUGUGUAGCGGUGAAAUGCGCAGAGAUAUGAAGGAACACCAGUGGCGAAGGCGACUUUCUGGUCUGUAACUGACGCUGAUGUGCGAAAGCGUGGGGAUCAAACAGG
rnacentral:rRNA from 1 species